GACGAACGCUGGCGGCGUGCCUAAUACAUGCAAGUAGAACGCACAGUUUAUACCGUAGCUUGCUACACCAUAGACUGUGAGUUGCGAACGGGUGAGUAACGCGUAGGUAACCUGCCUGGUAGCGGGGGAUAACUAUUGGAAACGAUAGCUAAUACCGCAUAAUAUUAAUUAUUGCAUGAUAAUUGAUUGAAAGAUGCAACUGCAUCACUACCAGAUGGACCUGCGUUGUAUUAGCUAGUAGGUGAGGUAACGGCUCACCUAGGCGACGAUACAUAGCCGACCUGAGAGGGUGAUCGGCCACACUGGGACUGAGACACGGCCCAGACUCCUACGGGAGGCAGCAGUAGGGAAUCUUCGGCAAUGGACGAAAGUCUGACCGAGCAACGCCGCGUGAGUGAAGAAGGUUUUCGGAUCGUAAAGCUCUGUUGUAAGAGAAGAACGGGUGUGAGAGUGGAAAGUUCACACUGUGACGGUAUCUACCA
rnacentral:rRNA from 1 species